CUCCUGACAUCAGUAAACCUUAUUCUCAACCGAAGCCAUCUGAGUCUCCAGAGCGUCUCUGAAUCUGCCUCCUCGUUCGUCUCUCCACAUCGCUGGAUUUCCCUAACAAGUCCGAGCCACUUUGUUCGCUUCCAGAGCCAAUUCUCACUCCUCAGAGUUCUCCUCGUAGUCGGGUGUGCAGGUCCUCCUGGUCGAUCUUGGCGUCCUGUUGGUGCCAGCGGUGGUGCGCCAGCAGGGCCACGUUCCUGGCGGAGAUGGCGCUCAUCUCCAUGGCGCUGGCCGCCCACUCCACGGCGCUGAGGUAGUAGAGCCGGUUGUGCAGGAUGAACGGAGGGGUCUUACGCUGCGGCGGACGGUAAGCCGGGUACGCCAGCCACGACGUCUCAGACACCGAAUCAUAGGAGAGGAACAUGUUCUGCAGCUGCUGCUGGGAAAGAGGCUGUGGAGAGAAAACCUUCCACACUUUAGCUUCGCUGGUGGGGGGUCGGUUGUAGCCCGCGGGGAUGUGCACCGGGUCCACAGAGCUCAGGCUGUUGAUGACGGAGCCCUUCGAGUCCGUGGUGAGGACGUCGGACACUCUGAACUCCGAGGGCGACUCGGUGGUGCCCAGGUAGGACACGUUCAGGAGGCCGUGGACCAGAGUGGACACCGUCUGGUGGUAGCGGCCCGGGAAGUGAGUGGGGAUCGAAGGGGAGAAGCCUGAGAAGGUGAUGUCCGAUUUCCCCUGGUGCAGUGGUGCUGCUAUGACCACAAUGUCGUAUAAACCGUGUGCUGCGCCUGAAUCUCCAACAUAGUGAAGCUCAUAGAAGCUCAUCGGGUUCCCUGAUAAUGGGAGAUGGAGAGAAGUUAAGAUGAAAUUUGUGAAACUUCCAAAGAGAAAAUGGUAAUGUCUGUGCCACAUCAUGGCGUGUAAAUGUUACCUGUCUUGGAUGGUCGAACCUUGACCGAAAUGGAAGUCACCCUGGCGUGGAUGAGCUCACUCUUGCUGUGGUAAAGCAGACCUGAGCACACUCUCUUAUUGCCUCCAUCCACUGCCCACAGGCCUGAAUCUGCCCCCGCUAGUGACACAGCACCUGGACAACAAAACAUGCAUGUUAAAUAGAUUUUACAGUUGCAAAAUGUAUCUAAAACGUUUGUCAUAUGCUGCAAAACCUACCAACAAAGCCACUGAUGCGAACACUUUGUCCAUAGUUGACACGAGUGAUGGGUGCAACAAUAUCGUUGAUGAAGACCUGUGAAAAUCCUUCACCCAUCAUGGUUUCCUCCAGCGUCUGAUUCAUCAGGAAAGCUGAUUCCUGCCUGCCUGGGUUCCUUCGUCUGCUGGUUUUCCGCCCUACCACGGAUUCUGCCUUCUUCUCCGGAGGAUCUCCACCUGUCGCCAGCUUAACCUGGUACCAUCAACGUACACCUGGAAAGAGGACUUUCCCUGGAAACAUCUGCCAUGACCGGGUUCUACUGACACCAACUUACCAAGCACAUGAGAACACCAGGAGGGAGAGUUCUGGAUAAAGCUAAACCAAAAGGACUGUUCUCAGCUCAUCAGUUAAGUCUCCAAGCCCUAGUAUCACCAGACUCGUUGUAUUGUUAAUACGUCGAAUUAAAUAAUCAGCGUUCUGUAUUUAACUUAAUGUAUUUUAUGCUUUGCAUAGGAUAGUUUUAUUCUGGGGUUUCAGCUCAUAAUUACUGGUAGUCUAGGCUGGGUUAGUUUUGUAUUUUCAGUUGUUUCCCUACCUUGGUGUUACCAUACGUGGGUUAACCUUAGUUUCAGUCUCUAUGUUUAUGUAGUUAUUCCUCCGUACCUCUAGAUGGUUUUUGAGUUCUAGUAGUAGUUUAGUUCUUCUUUGUCCAAGAUUCUAGUUCCGGUUCCUGUAUAGAGGUUUUUUUUUGUUUUGUUUUUUUUUUUUGGUGAAUAAAAGCAUUUUUAAAAUGUU